UACGGAGGGUGCAAGCGUUAUUCGGAAUUAUUGGGCGUAAAGGGCGCGUAGGCGGUCUUUUAAGUCAGAUGUGAAAGCCCGGGGCUUAACCCCGGUAGUGCAUUUGAAACUAAGAGACUUGAGUAUGGGAGAGGGAAGUGGAAUUCCUGGUGUAGAGGUGAAAUUCGUAGAUAUCAGGAGGAACACCGGUGGCGAAGGCGACUUCCUGGACCAAUACUGACGCUGAGGCGCGAAGGCGUGGGGAGCAAACAGG
rnacentral:rRNA from 1 species